AUGUAUCCAAUAGCCUGGGCUACUGUAGAGGUUGAGAACAAAGACUCUUGGUUCUGGUUUAUGGCUCUGCUAAACAAAGACUUGGAAAUUGAAAAUCAAGGAGAAGGGUGGGUCUUUAUAUCAGAUCAACAAAAAGGCCUCAUCAAUGCUGUGUCCAAGGUUGUUCCAAAUGCUGAGCAUAGGAAUUGUGAUAGGCAUAUCUAUGCUAAUUGGAAGAAAAAGCAUAGAGAUCAAGCAUAUCAGAAAAGAUUUUGGGCUUGUGCAAAAUCUUCAAACAGGAUACACUUCAACUUGAACAGGGCCAAACUUGCUCAACUCACACCAGAUGGAGCAAGAGACAUGAUGCAAUCAGGCCCAGAAACUUGGUGUAGAGCUUGGUUCAAAGAAGGUUCAUGUUGUGAUUCUAUGGAUAAUAACAUGUGUGAGAGUUUUAACAACUGGAUAGUAGAGUACAGAGGGUUGCCUAUUAUCAGCAUGUUUGAAGCAAUUAGAGCAAAGGUCACUGUAAGAAUUCAAGUAAACAGAGCAAUGCCUGCAAAAUGCAAUGGAACUAUUUGUCCUAAAAUUAUGAAAAAGGUCAACAAGCUGAUACAUCUUACUGAGAAGUGUGAGACAAUAUGGAAUGGAAAAGAUGGAUAUGAGGUGAAAUUAGGGCAGCAUGGUUUCAAAGUUGACAUGUAG
rnacentral:rRNA from 1 species